GUGCGAGACCGAUAGCGAACAAGUACCGUGAGGGAAAGAUGAAAAGAACUUUGAAAAGAGAGUUAAAGAGUACCUGAAACUGCUGAAAGGGAAUCGAAUCGUUUCCAGUGUCUAUAAUCCGUGGCAUAUUUCAUUGGCGUGCUUCGGCNUUGCCGGUGCCCUGUGUUGCGGUGGGACGUCAGAGUCAGUUCGAAUGCUGCGGGAAAUGGCUGCUAGGGAGGUAGGUCACUUCGGUGAUUGUUAUAUCCUGGCGUGCUAGUCGUCGUGGUUGGGACUGAGGUGCCUAC
rnacentral:rRNA from 1 species